rnacentral:lncRNA from 10 species
GGGUACAUAGUAGGUGUAUUAUUUAUGGAUUACAUGAGAUGUUUUGAUAGUCAUGCAAUGUGUAAUAAUCACAUCAUAGAAAAUGGGGUAUCCAUCCCUUCAAGCACUUACCCUUUGUGUUAUAAGCAAUCUAGGAUGGGUGCAGUGGCUCAUACCUGUAAUCCCAGCACUUUGGGAGGCCGAGGCAGGUGAAUCACCUUAGGUCAGGAGUGAUCCAAAAGCGCUGGGAUUACAGGCAUGAGCGACCAUGCCUGGCCAUUAUUUUUUUAAUUUUUAAUUUUUGUGGGUAGAUAGUAGGUGUAUAUAUUUAUGGGAUACUUUGAUACAGGUAUGCAAUGCAUAAUAAUCACAGGGUAAAGGGGGUAUCCAUCCCCUCAAGCAUUUAUUCUUUGUGUUACAAACAAUGCAAUUAUGCUCUUUAUUUUUAAAUUGAGGCUGGACACGGUAGCUCACCCAUGUAAUUCCAGCACUUUGGGUGGCUAAGGCAAGCGUAUUGCUUGUGCUCAGGAGUUUGAGACCAGCUUGGGCAAUGAGAUAAAACCCCGUCUCUACAAAAAAAUACAAAAAAAUUAGCCUGGUGUGGUGGCACACACCUGUGGUCCCAGCUACUCGGGAGGCUGAGGUGGGAGGAUUGCUUGAGCCCAGGUUGCUUGAGCCCAUGAGCUGAGACUGCACCACUGCACUCCAACCUGGGUGACAGAAUGAGACCUUGUCUCAAAAAAAAAAAAAAAAAAGUACAAUAAAUCUUUGAUUGUAGUCACCCUGUUGUGCUAUCAAAUACUAGAUCUUAUUCCUUCUAUCUAAUUAUAUUGUUG